rnacentral:rRNA from 2 species
UGGGGAAUAUUGCACAAUGGGGGAAACCCUGAUGCAGCGACGCCGCGUGAGUGAAGAAGUAUUUCGGUAUGUAAAGCUCUAUCAGCAGGGAAGAAAAUGACGGUACCUGACUAAGAAGCCCCGGCUAACUACGUGCCAGCAGCCGCGGUAAUACGUAGGGGGCAAGCGUUAUCCGGAUUUACUGGGUGUAAAGGGAGCGUAGGUGGUUCGGCAAGUCAGAUGUGAAAGCCCGGGGCUCAACCCCGGGACUGCAUUUGAAACUGUCGGACUGGAGUGCAGGAGAGGUAAGUGGAAUUCCUAGUGUAGCGGUGAAAUGCGUAGAUAUUAGGAGGAACACCAGUGGCGAAGGCGGCUUACUGGACUGUAACUGACACUGAGGCUCGAAAGCGUGGGGAGCAAACAGG